AUGUAUAAGAUAGUGGCAUUUAGGUGUUAAAACACUUCCAAAUAUUUCUGUCAUCUCUGAAAGGAACGCAUGUACAAGUACUUCUAGAUUUGCUAGUUCAUCUUUCCUCAACUUAGCUGCCAUGACAAUAUCUGCAAUCUCUUUACAUAAUAAGAACACGUGCCAAUAUCUGGUGCCAGGAGGAACACGAUGACCCAUUAUAAAUGGCAACAAUCUGAAAAGACACCAUUUCUGAGCAGCUGUUCCUACGAUCCCUGAGGUUUGAAGAAGUCAUUCGGACAACAGCACAGGCUUAUUGGCCUUGUUAUUCUGACCAAAACAGAACUUUUGAAGCUCUUCAUUUAUCUCAGUUAUAGUUAUAUGCUUUUGUUUAUGAGCUUUGCAAAUAACAUGCUUCAAUGUCAGUGGAAAAACUCCCUCCAACAUUUCAUGCAUGAUGUCUGGGGGCAAAGACUUGGUCACAUCAAAAUAACCUAGCGCAUCAAAUGAACAAGUGCUGCGUUCACCAUACAAAGCAGCAUUUUCUUUGUUAUGCUGGACACACUGGAGAUGAUAUUCGUAGACUUCAGUUGUUCUUAGAACAAAACUAUCUUCCUGGAGUUUUUGAUUAAUUUCUGAAUGCGUUGCCAUACAAUAACGACAAAUUUGACCCAAGUUAAAACGCAUGCGAAAGCCACCAAUCAUAUGCGAUGACAGAUUGUCAGCAGAAAACGUUGCUAAAGCGGCAUAAACUUUGUGUUCUGUUCCACAGACAUUCACAGUGAAGCCAUCAGUUGAAAGCUGUUUUAGGUCAUCUAUCAAUGGUUUUAAUAUGAUAUCCAUACCAAACUCUUUCAAAUGUGAAUGACGAACCAGCAGAGCUAAAUGAAUGUGCUUAAGACGAGAUCGAUACUUUCCACCUAAAUUUCCAACUGUGUAGUAAAAUCCACACAACUUAUACUUCAUUCUCUUAGGACCUAAAGGGUUAACUAUUUCAAAUUCGUCUUCAUAUAAAUUAAGUCUUAAUGCAUCUGGAUGUUCUCUAAAAAACAAAUGUUCCUUAAAAUAAAGACCAUCUUUAUAGUCCAUCAGAAACAGUUCAUCUUGGACCUUGUUAUUUUCAGAUGGUAUUUGAUUCCAGACAUCUUCAUGGGAACAGUAUUUUUUUUAAAACUUCAGAGAUGGGAACAUAGGAAUAGGUUCCUAUUUUGUUCCCUGAAGGGCCUCUCAGUGUGUGGUGAACAGAUUCUGUAUAGUCCAUCUUGGCCUUACAGUGUUCUUUAAUCUUAUGCGGAGAACGAACCACCUCAAAAUCUUUAUCAAAGAAAUCAGAUGAAUCCAAAACCUGCUGAAGUUCAGGGCACUUUGAAAUAUCAAAACCACUAUUUUCAAGAUGAUGAGAAAUAAAAUCAUCAUAGUUCUCUUUAAAAAAAAAAAGAAGAGAAAUUUGACAUCAUCUACAAUGUCUUGUUGGACUGACAAAUGUAGAAGGUUUUUCUCUCUGCAUUUUAAGAAUGAAUCCAAAUAGAUGUUCUUGAAAAUCUUCUAAAAGUUUAUCUAAAAGUGGCAUAACUUGAGGAUCAGAGGAAUUUGGAUCAGAUUAAUUUUGCUAAUCAGGGUUCAGGCUGUGUUGCUGUACUGCUGACUCUUCUUCACUGGGACAGUCAAUUCUGUCAUCAGAUUGUCAAACAAAGGAUCUGUGCUUCCUGUAAACAUGUUUUCUAUAAGAAUGAUAACAAGAAAACGUUGACUGGCACUCAUGUUCUUCAGGUGUGGUGGAUAUGUGAUGUUGUGUGCACUGGCACACAACCAUGCCAUCCACCUUCACCACGCUGUGCCCUCCUCCAAUGAUUGCCAUCUUCCAAUCAUUCUCCAUCAGUUGAAUGGUUGGAAAGGGGGUAGCAGGGUCCUCCUACAUAAAAGAAAAGUCAGUCAUUUUAGCCUUUUAUUAUAUAUUGAAAAUUCCCUGUAUAUAUUGUAGAUGGUUUUACAGGUACAUUUACUCUAGAACUUUCAUACUAAAGCUGGAGACAUCUUUAAAAAAAAAAGUUAUGGCAUAAAUGAAGCACAUCUACUGGAGACAGAAAAGUCCCAAAUCCAAAUUAUCUUUGUCUGUUCAUAUACUAACAUGAGGUCCACCAGCCAGCAUUGCAGGAUAAUUCAGAAGCCUACCUCUUUCAAAGUAAUGUAGUGUUCGAUCUUUUCUCUGAAGAUGGAUGGCAAGAGGAUAAGCCCAGCCCUUAAGUCAAUUCCUGCAAUGUGGAAAAAUAUGCUACUUUCUCAAUCACAUAUUUUGCAAUGUGGUAAAGCAAAUUACAUAUAUUGUGACUAUCUCUACCUGGUAGAUCUUCAGCCAGGGCAUCCUGUCUUGUUUCAGAGUACUGUUUUGCUAGGGGGGAUUUUGCUGUGGCAAGUUUCAGCACAUUUGGCAGAACUCUAGCAAAGCCCUCUCUGAAGCGAUGACAGAAGCUGCUUGGUGAGGGAUGGAUUUGGUCAGUCUCAUCAAAGAACUGUAGAAUGUGAAGACAUGAAUAACAUUCAGUGCAUCACUGAAAGCAAAUUUAUUUUAAUUAAAUGUUUUAUUUAAUUAAAUGUUUAUUUUCCGUGACAGCAAUAGACAUGUCUUCAAUUUCACAGUUUCCAAAAUCGUAAUUGCAUCCCUCUAUCAUUCAGAUGUUUUCAAUACUCACUCCAUCAGGCGUUCUUAAGUAUGGGUACUUUUUGACUACAUCCUCCACAGACAUUCCUUCCAUGAUUUCUCGAUUUGUUGUAAUUUUCUGAUCACACAGAAAAUUACAACAGUUAUAGACGAAUAACUGUAAAACACAGACAGAUCAUCGCAUUCAAAUUUUAACUUGAGAGUGUGUUCAUGACCAUUAGUAUUUAACUAGUUACUAAUAUUUACCCUAAUUCCGAUCGCACGUGAAGGCAGCAUAACAACGCUGAGCUCUUGUGCAAGACGCUGCAAAAGACGCAAGACGUGAUAGUCUUGCCUGAAAAAAAAUUUAAACGCUGUUUGAGCAUAAGAAACAAAAUUUAUAGGAUAGGUUAUCUAAGUUUUUGUUGUAAAAUUGAAAAAAAAAAAGAUUAAUUUGAGCAGAUUUCGAUAUUCCACAGCAGACGGCGCGAAGCAGGAAAAAUGGGUUGCGCCAUAAUUAAUUUUGUACCUAAAAAUAAAAAAAAAGGUUCACAGUUGUCACCUUAAGGACCAUUUCCUGUACCGUACAGGGUACUUUCAUGGGAAAUGUACCAUUAGGUACAGAAACGAUACCCCUAUUUUUCUGUGUGAAUGUCUUUGGGAGGAGCUAGUCUAAUUGACACACCAGGAGUGGGAAGCUCUUCACAUCUUGAUGGUAUUUAAUUGUUUGACUUACUUGUGUUAGGGUGGUUUGCUUAUCAGGUCAAUUGAAUUGUUUAAUAGCUGGUGGAAUUGGCAGCUAAAGUUCCACUGUUGUAAUAAUAAAUUAUAAGUUUAUAUAUACAUCUUGAAAUGUAUUGGUAUUGGCAUCAACUAAUGAAAUGUUGGUAUUUUAAGACAUACUUUUUAACAUUAUACGUACACUAGUGGUAAAAGAAUCAUAAUAAUUUAUGUGAGAACUAUGAAAGGCCUACCAGUGGUUGUACAGUUCACCUGACUCUUCUUUUGGGGGUGAGGUACUGAAGAAGUAUCUUUAAAAAAAAAGAAAAAUUAUUUUAUUACUUUUUAACCCUUUACUUGUAAACUGCUUUCACAUACUUGAUUCAUGUUCUAAUCAGAGCUGCUGAGACACACUGGUUGUUUUUUUUUUUUUUUUUUUUCCUUUUUGGGACGUAAUCAGAGCUCUCAAGCUGCUUUUUUGAUUAACUUUAUAGAGGUUUCAUAGUCCUAAUGAAGUAAAAUAUGGUGAGUGCAAUUUAGCAUUCCUUUAUAGUAGUUGCACUAACAUUUUGUUUAAAUAGACCUUUAAAAAUAAAAAGAAAUGCCUGUUUUUGCAAACACCCUGACCCUGUACCAGGUCCCAUUUUCUUUAUCAGACAGUUCAAGUCUUUUAAUUUAAUUUUUUUUUUUUGUUGGUUUUUUUUUGUUUUUUUUGGACACAUUCAUUGUUGGCCAGUAGCAGUAUUGUACCUACAUUAAUCCUGUACAACUGAAUUAUGAUAUAAAUGGAUAUAUGCACAGUCUUGGGUCCUUGUAGAGAGUUUUUUUCUCUCUCUCUCUCUCUCUCUCUCUUCCAGUCUUUUAGCAACCUGAAUCAGUGGGUUUCUGGCAGAAUGUACCAUCCUCUUCAGUGUCUGCAGGUAGUUCUCAAACAUGAAGGCACUACAAUUUUCCAGACAAAAAGUUUUCAGCAUCACUUGCUAUAUGUAACAUGGCAUGAGUGUUGUACACAAGGAACUCCUGUCCAUAGUGUGUCCAACCUUUUCCCACAAAGUUCAUUGGCAUAAUUGGAAUGUUCCUGCACAAGACUUGGACGUACUAAGAAUACCAUGGCCACAAGUACAUCUCCUCUGGCCUUCCUUCAACACAAUCUUUCACGUGUAUAUAAGGAACUAAUAAAAAUGGGUUACUUUCCAGCUGUCCAGCUCUAUAAGACUCCUAGGUUGUAGCGCAAAAGUAGAUGGGAUGCUGUUCUGAAGAGACAGUAGUCUUGUACUAAUCUCUGUAAUUUAGCUGGCUGAAACCCUAACAACUAGUAUCCUCGGAUCCAGAUGAACAGGAGCCUUUUCAUUACACGAGACAAGUCUGGUGCAUGUAAUCAAUGGGAAAUCACCUCACCGCAUCUUUGUGUUCCCACUGUGAUGCUGAGAUUUGAUUUCUGAAUGUUCAAUCUGUCCAGAGUAUGAGGUCAGCAGUCUCUUGGUAUGUGACUGUUAAACCACACACCUUUUUGCUCACAUCGGUCACAGCCAAAGUAACCUUAGCACAAGCUGGAGCAUCACACACAAAGCACCUCAGAUUAACUUUUAUUUUUCGUCCCAUGAAGUUAAUCCCAUCAUUCAUCAGAUGGCACAGUUCCCUUAAUGUGUCCUUCAAAAAGCCAAGAUCUUCUAUUGGUCGACUUAUGCCACAUGUCAAAGGUGUGUGGAAAAUAGCGACAGGAUCUAACAUGACUGCAAAGGACUGGCCACAUACAUGUUUUGGAGCUCUUGUACAAUGGUAAUCCAUCAACGUUAAAUGAUAAAUCAACACAAUGGAGUUUAACUACUUAAUCAAGCUGAGAGAGGAAGCACUUAUCCUGAGAUGAUAGGCCAUCUACAGGACAUCCAGCAGCUUGGAAAAUCCCUAAACAGGCCCCUAAAUGUUGAUCAUGAAGGUUUUUCCAGUAAAAUACCUCAACUUUCAACUAAAACUCAAGAAAACAAAAGUGGUCUGGUGUUUCCUCUCCUUUGCCCUAGCUGUCAACACAAGGCAAACCUCACCAGCUCCAAAUUUCUCUGGCACUGCAGAAAGAGGAAACUGACCUGAGGUUUCUGCUGGGAAUGCAGAGUGUUCCUAUUUCCUGUCAGAGGUCUGUGUCUCACAUUAUGUCCAAUGUUACAGUUUGUAUGAGAAUCUAUGUUGUCACUUGUGAAUAUUACUGUUGUUUGUUAACUUUCAAUAUACAGUUUUAUCCUGAUUAAAGCUUUACUGUACCCGAAUACUUGACUGAGUAGUAGCAUUUUUUUUUUUUAAUGUAUCGUUUGAACAUAGAAGUUUGUUGGUGUUUGUUGGAGAAGUAUGCAAUAUAAUUUAGCUAACUGGCUAGCAAAGCAAAACCCCGUUGGUCUUAAAAUAGCAACAUAAUACAUUUGAAAGAUAUUCUGGGGACAUCAGAGACUUUACAUCUUGAAUAAGUUUCAUUAUAUGACCCCUUUAAGGGCUAGAUAUUGUGAUAGUAUUUCUUUUGUAGAGUGAUGUUUCAUGUAGUCUGCCCUUCUUUCCUUGUCCGUGCCAUGCACUCUUGUAAAAGUUGGACAUUUGGUGUCCUCUUCAAGCAGUCUUUCUCCAAGUGGAUCCCUAUGGAGUAUUCAUCUUCUCCUGAUUCACUCUAUUCAUAAAAAACACAUGCCAUCAUUUAAUAACAUUAUGCUUUAACCUAUUCUUAAAUCCUGAAGAUUAUUCUAUUUGUGACUCUUGCCUCUUUAGACCUUCCUCUCUUUUGGUACAUGUCUUGGAUUACAUGGAUUACAUCCAGACAUCCAUUACUGUAAAUAUGAAUUAAGGUGUCAUAUUAUUUGGCAUACCUUUUUAUUUGUUGCCUUCUUGGUGUCACAUGUCUGUUGGAUGCUUGGAGAAAUCAUCUGGUUCCUUAUUCUGUUGAAUCUACUGCGAACAUUGUUUAUCUCUUCAAUGUCAACCAAGGGUGAUCUUUUUUUCUUGAAUUUGUUCUUAAGAAUCUCAUGCCAUGACUCCUUAAAUGGAAAAAUAACACUAUUAAUUAAACAUGUAUCACCUUCAAGCAGAGGUUGCGUUAGACUUUAGCACUGUCCGUCAUUUUGACGGACAGGAUAGUAAAAAUUCUGUCAUAUUCAAUUACCUGUCAUUUUAAUUUUUAUAU